rnacentral:rRNA from 1 species
UACGUAGGGGGCUAGCGUUGUCCGGAAUCAUUGGGCGUAAAGAGCGUGUAGGCGGUUCGGUAAGUCCGCUGUGAAAGUCCAGGGCUCAACCCUGGAAUGCCGGUGGAUACUGUCGGGCUAGAGUCCGGAAGAGGCGAGUGGAAUUCCUGGUGUAGCGGUGAAAUGCGCAGAUAUCAGGAGGAACACCGAUGGCGAAGGCAGAUCUCUGGGCCUUACCUGACGCUGAGGAGCGAAAGCUGGGGGAGCGAACAGG